CGGGUCAUCUACGGUUGCUACCACCGUGACGGCGAAACAGCCGCUAACAAAAGAGACCACACUACAAAAGCUCUUGUAUUCAUCUUCAAAGUGUCUGCAGCAAGCAAACUAUAUUAAGAACAUACACACCCGCUUCUUCUUAUUUAUAGUUGCAUUGUAGACUUAAGGAACAAGCAUUGAAGAUUAAAGAUACACCAAGCGAGGAAAGAUCUUGAGGGCACAUCAUGAAAAAAAUAUCUUAGUUGGCAGCUCGAAAUAUAGCUCGCAAGCAUCGUUCAAGUCUCUGCACGCAACACGUACGAGUACAGGUCGCCACGUACCAAGGUUUUGCGGAACUAC
rnacentral:lncRNA from 1 species